ensembl:lncRNA
CAAUGAUCGACACUGAACAAAUGUUUAAGAGCUGUCUGUGCAUAUUAGAUAGUGCAACCUAACAGUUUACUUAACAGAGGUCCUCAGAAAGAGUGUGUAUGUUUGUGUGUGGACAUUUUGAGUCUGCUGGGAUAUGUGCUAUGACCUUAAGGAAAUGCAGUCAGGAUCGCAGGGAGCUUGGAGCCUACAUCCCAGAGGACUCCCAAGGUGGGGGACACCCUGGACCCAUCGCAGGGCACAUUCACACACAUUACGGAGAAUUUGGGAAUGCGAAUCAGCCUACAAGGCGUGUCUUUGGACUGGGGAGGAAACUGGAGUACCCGGAGGAAACCCCCAAAUCAUGUGAAGAACAUGCAAGCUCCAUACAGUCAAACCCCCAACUCCGGAGGUGCUAGGCAAAUGUGCUAACCACUAAUUCACCGUGCUGCCCAUCUACAGGAAACUUAAGCAUAGACGGUAAAAACCAUUCCCUUGUAGUUUUGUAGUUGCCGACCCAUUGCUGGGCACAAUCGCGCACACACAUUCACACAUCCAUUCACACACUAUGGACAAUUUGGAAAUUCCAAUCAGCCUACAACUCAUGUCUUUUGAAUGGGAGAGGAAACCGGAGUGUGUGUUGUAUUCUGAGAUGUGAUUCUGUCCACCAUGGAUGUAACAAGUGGUAAUUUGAGUUAUUUGUCAGCCCAAAACAGUCUGAACAUUCUCCUCUGACCUCUCUAUUUCACGCCGCAUUUCCAUGUCCACUAAUUGGAUGGUUUUGUUUUGUUUUGUUUUGUUUUGUUUUUUUCCACACCAUUCUGUGUAAACUCUAGACUGUUAUGCAUGAAAGUUUUUUUUCUGAAAUAUUCAAACCAGUUCAUCUGGCACAAACAAUCAUGCCACCGAGAUGACAUUUUUCCCCAUUCUGACAUUUGAUGUGAACAUGAAGCUCUUGAGCUGCAUGAGUUUAUACGUUGUACUGCUACCACAUGAUUGGCUGAUUCAGUAAUUGCAUGAAUGAGUGCAUGCACACAAUAAUUGCAUACUGCUUUUGAGAGUUCACUGAUGAAUUACUGUUGCAUGUUCAGAGUUUGAGGGCUAUUUCUUGUAUAAGAGUUUACCCAGCAUUUCGUAAGACCAGAAAAUCCAUGGAGAGCAGAAUAUGCUGUCAAUCAAACAAAACGGCAAUUAAACAGAAGAGGGACCAUCUGGUAUAGAAGUACAUGAAGGUUUCUUCAGUGAGUAGCAAUAGAAAUGUGUCUGACAUUGUAGUACAUGGUUUGCUUGGGAUUAAUAAUGGUGUAUCAAUGUUUUUUGACAUAAACUCAGCCAAGGUUCAAUUCCGCUAUCCGGUGUCUACUGUUUUCCUCAUUCCCUUCAGAAAAGUGGUGACGAUGCAUGGACACUUGAUUAUCAUAUUUGUAAUAGGCAACACAGAUGGCUAAUUUCGAAGGCUCUUAAUCAGGGCCAAAUGGCUUAUUAGAUCAAACAGUAAAUUGUUUACUCUGUUGUUGAGUUUACUUUCAGUUAUUUCGC